GGAAAGAAAAGUAGCAUGAGAUGAGAACAGACAAAACUCUGCUAAUUGCGUCUUUUAAGUUUAUAUAAGUACAGCUACAUACGUUCUGUAUCCACGUACUCUAAGUUUGAUUGUUCUAUAUUAACAAAUGAGUUAAUUUGAAUCCAUGUCAGCCUUUAAAUGAGUUAUUGGCGCUAAAACAGUGACGAAGUUGUAAGCUAACAACGCUAAUUAGCAAGAGAAACCCCAUUACUGCACAGAAUGUGCUUCGGACCUGCUACCCAGCCAUGAUGGUUCCGUGAAGUACUCAGGCCGGAAGUGAUUAUCAUCACAGGAAACUGAACUCUACAGGACAAGAGGAUCAGAAUAACCUACAACCCCUGGGUGUCAAAGCAACUAUCCCGUUGCGAGCUGCAGCGUUCACACCGAUGACGUUCAGGUUGGUUUUGACGCCGCACAGAUACGCUGUGGCUGUCGCUGCACUGUCUGCGAUCUGGAAGUCCACACUACAGCCGGAGCAGGAGUGUUAUAACGCUGAGAAGCUGACUGGUUGUGUAACUUACCGUCUCCGAGGAAGAACAGGAUGUUCUUGGCCACAUUGGUGUUCAACUUUCGGUCCAACGCUGACUGCAGAGUCUCACGGGCCUGGGACCUCCAGAACUCCGGGUUCUCCUCCUCCACUGUGGGCGAACACACAGAUCAGAUUGGUUUUGUUAAAUUUCAUGAUGUAUUUCUUGUAUUUUUGCCUUUUUUUUUUGCAAAAUGUCAGACCAGUCAAACAGUACUUUGGGUAAAAUCUGUACUUUUGAAGUGUAAUAACUAAAACUGCAGGUUAAAGCACAACUCAUGCUGUAAGAACAUCAUGCAUCCUUCAUCUUUUGCAAGUUUCCUUUGAAAACACAGAAAAGUGACAAAUACAAAGAGGACAAAGAAACACUCUGUGCAUCAUGCAGAGAUGAAUGUAGGCAGAAACUCUUUGUUCAGGCUUUGUGGGACUCAAAUGUGUAUUUGUGUGUGUGCAUGUUUGUUUGUCUCUACCACACCUCAUUCACAUGCUCUCUACUCGGCUGCAGUCCAUCUCUCUGUGCUGUAACAGGUAGUUUGAUACAACAGUCCACAAACAAGCAGUAAACGCUGAUACCAGCCAGUUGCAUAACAUACUGAGUGUGCUGGUUUAAAAAGUUUGGGAGAAAAACAAGAGGCGAGUGAUAAGCAAUGAUGAUAAGAGAAGGUGGAAGGAGAACAAAAACAGAGCAGAAAAAAAAAGCUGUGUGUGAUUAUGUUUUAAAUCAAAAUGCAGAAAACAACAGAAGUCUGACUCGGGGGUAAAAAGGUUAGAAUCAAACAUCAAGCUCAACAUUUUCAGGCCUCUCUGCUCUGCUGGGGUGCAUUUAAAGGGGAACUAUGAAAGGGUUUGAUAUCUGAAGCGAAUGCAUGUUUGAUUUUUGUGCAACUUCUGCUGAAAACGCUGCAAACAUCACAUCAAGCUGUAGGUGAGGUGCAGGGCUGUGGCUCAGCUCCUUACAUGACAUGCAGACUGCAGCCAUGUGAAGAACUUAAAUGUUACUGCGUAUAAAUGUAUACUUAGCUGCUUUAGAGUCAACCUAUUCAAUUUUCUAAAUGAUAAAAAGCAACAUAUAGUUUGCAUGAUGAGUUGGAUGAGUGAACUGAAAA